rnacentral:rRNA from 1 species
GACGAACGCUGGCGGCGUGCUUAACACAUGCAAGUCGAACGGAGCGAAUGAAAGCUUGCUUUUAUGAGCUUAGUGGCAAACGGGUGAGUAACACGUAGACAACCUGCCGACAGGAUGGGGACAACAUUCCGAAAGGAAUGCUAAUACCGAAUGAAGCGGAGGAGAGGCAUCUCUCUUCCGUGAAAGAUGGCCUCUAUUUAUAAGCUAUCACCUGUCGAUGGGUCUGCGUCUGAUUAGCUGGUUGGUGAGGUAACGGCUCACCAAGGCGACGAUCAGUAGCCGGUCUGAGAGGAUGAACGGCCACAUUGGGACUGAGACACGGCCCAGACUCCUACGGGAGGCAGCAGUGGGGAAUCUUCCGCAAUGGGCGCAAGCCUGACGGAGCAACGCCGCGUGAGUGAAGAAGGUCUUCGGAUCGUAAAGCUCUGUUGACGGGGACGAACGUGCGAAGGGUGAAUAAUCCUUUGUAAGACGG